UUAGGCCUGCAUUACAAGAUUCGCAACGGCCUUUCUUACCCUUCAACGGCUACAUAAGCAAAAGAGCAACUGAGAAAAAUGUUCACAUUGGAUGACUGGACCAAGAGUAAAUGGGCAAAGGAACAAGCGGGCAAAGGGGCGGCUAGCAUUGUAAUGAUGCCUACAUUUUGGACUAGCAUUAUUUUUAUUCUUAAGAUUUUUGGUCCUCUCGUUCAUGUACUUCGGCUAGUUGAUGGUGAGAAAAGGCCGACAAUGGGUUAUAUUUAUGAGGCAAUGGAUAGAGCAAAGGAAGCAAUUGCAAAGUCUUUUAAAGAGAGGGGGGAGAAAUACAGUGAAAUAUUCAAUAUUAUUGAUAAUAAAUGGGAAUGCCAACUUCAUCGCCCUUUACAUGCUGUUGGCCAUUUCUUGAAUCCUGAAUUCUUUUAUUCAAAUUUAGAAAUCCUUAGAGAUGAAGAGAUUAUGGCGGGUUUAUAUAAAGCUUUGUAAAAAUUGAUUUCAAGGGCUCAAGAACAAGAUAAAAUAUGCGAUCAACUAAGUGUGUAUCGUAAAGCACAUGGACUUUUUGGAACUAAUAUGGCAAUUCGACCAAAGAAUACAAAGUCAUCAGGGGAGUGGUGGAAAUUGUUUGGAUCAUCAACAUCGGACUUGCAAAAAUUUGCAAUUAGGGUUCUUAGCCUCAUUUGUAGUGCUUCCGGUUGUGAGUGAAAUUGGAGUGUUUUUGAACAUGGAAGUUGCAAGAUCAAAUCAUCUUAUUUAA